rnacentral:rRNA from 1 species
CCCAUGUGAACUUAUCUCUUUGUUGCCUCGGCGCAAGCUACCCGGGACCUCGCGCCCCGGGCGGCCCGCCGGCGGACAAACCAAAACUCUUGUUAUCUUAGUUGAUUAUCUGAGUGUCUUAUUUAAUAAGUCAAAACUUUCAACAACGGAUCUCUUGGUUCUGGCAUCGAUGAAGAACGCAGCGAAAUGCGAUAAGUAAUGUGAAUUGCAGAAUUCAGUGAAUCAUCGAAUCUUUGAACGCACAUUGCGCCCAUUAGUAUUCUAGUGGGCAUGCCUGUUCGAGCGUCAUUUCAACCCCUAAGCACAGCUUAUUGUUGGGAACCUACGGCUUCGUAGUUCCUCAAAGACAUUGGCGGAGUGGCAGUGGUCCUCUGAGCGUAGUAAUCUUUUAUCUCGCUUCUGUUAGGUGCUGCCCCCCCGGCCGUAAAACCCCCAAUUUUUUCUGGUUGACCUCGGAUCAGGUAGGAAUACCCGCUGAACUUAAGCAUAUCAAA